rnacentral:rRNA from 1 species
CCCUUAGAUGUUCUGGGCUGCACGCGUGCUACACUGAUAUUGCCAAUAUGUCAUUCUUAUCCGAAAUGGAUUGGGUAAUCAAGUAAUGAAAUUUCAUGCUUGGAAUCGGUAAUUGCAAUUUUAUCGUGAACGAGGAAUUCCUAGUAAGCACUAGUCAUCAGCUAAUGUUGAUUAUGUCCCUGCCCUUUGUACACACCGCCCGUCGCUACUACUGAUUGGGUGUUCAAGUGAGAUGCUUAGACCCUUGUUGCAUGGUUCAUUAUUGUGCUCCGAAAGGAAAAAGUUUCAAGCUUGAGUGUCUAGGGGAAGUAAAAGUCGUAACA